CUCUGAAGAUGACUAGGACAGAGAUUUCAAAGGACCAGGGUGUCUCUUCCAGAGAGGAGCAAUCUGGUAGUUGCUGAGUCUACAAGGCUGGAUGUCUCAAUGAUCCCUCUCUGGUCCUGAAGGCCUGAAGGAUUCCUGGAGGCUGCUGAUCUUCAGUGGAUGUUGGAAGCCUGGAGAAGCUGCUUCUAAUAUCAAUGAAAGAAUACUACAACA
rnacentral:lncRNA from 1 species